rnacentral:rRNA from 1 species
UGGGGAAUAUUGGACAAUGGGCGCAAGCCUGAUCCAGCCAUGCCGCGUGAGUGAUGAAGGCCUUAGGGUUGUAAAGCUCUUUUACCAGGGAAGAUAAUGACGGUACCUGGAGAAUAAGCCCCGGCUAACUUCGUGCCAGCAGCCGCGGUAAUACGAAGGGGGCUAGCGUUGCUCGGAAUCACUGGGCGUAAAGCGCACGUAGGUGGGUCGUUAAGUCAGGGGUGAAAUCCCGGAGCUCAACUCCGGAACUGCCUUUGAUACUGGCGAUCUUGGAGUCCGGGAGAGGUGAGUGGAACUGCGAGUGUAGAGGUGAAAUUCGUAGAUAUUCGCAAGAACACCAGUGGCGAAGGCGGCUCACUGGCCCGGUACUGACACUGAGGUGCGAAAGCGUGGGGAGCAAAC